rnacentral:lncRNA from 1 species
CCCUUUCCCCACCCAGGCUAUCACACAUACUGCGGCUUCCUGAAGAUUGAGGCCAGCCAGUCGCACCCGGCUACCACGGCUUUCUGUGCUCUGCUUCUGCAGACCCAGCGGCCUCGGCUUCUCCGGGCCCCCCAGGAUGGCCUCAGACAGGGGCAGGAAGAAGAAGGGAUGCAGCUGCUGCAGACCAAGAACGCCAUGGCCAGGGGAGCAGGGCCCAGGGCCCGCCAAGGCAGAGCCCGCUGGGGGCUGGCCUACACACUUCUGCACAAUCCUGCCCUUCAGGCCUUCCGGAAGAGGGCCCUGUCAGGGGCCUAGGUCAAUGGAGCCCAGCCCUGAGAGUGGGGAAGCCGCUGUGUCCUUGUCAGGGCUGAAGUGCUCCGCCUCCUCCCAGCCCACUCCCUCCCAUCUUCCCCAGCAUCCUGCCAGCCUCCCUGGCCUCUCUCGGUCACUGUGGCUCCCCAUGACAAGUCCCCGGGCUCUUCAUUGGCCACCAGCCCCAGACGCCAGGGGGCGCUGUGGUCGGGUACAGGUCUGUUCCCAGCCGAACUCUGACCUAACCCUCAGGAGGACUCUAGUAGGGCCCCUUGGUCUUGGGAAGCUGGUGAGGGCUCUGGGGGAAGUAAUCUGAGGUUUAGGCCCUUGGUCUAGGGUGUCAUUAGAACUGGAGCGGCCACCUCCAGUCCCUUCUCCAUGCUGGCUCUGCCACCGACCUCUGCUCAUGGAACCGUCUCCUCACUGGGAUGGGUAAAUCAGGCCAGUCCAGCCUCAUGAUCCGGCUCAGCCCCACCUCAGCCUUGGAGUCACCAUCAUGGAACUAGACACAGAGCCUCCUCUCUCCACCGGCUUCCCCCUCUCCUCUGGGGGUGGGGGGGCUCGUGCCUCCUGCCAGGCAGCCCAGGAGGAUGCCAUAGGCUCCUGCCGGGCAGCAACAUCAUAGCUCCAGCCAGACCCCACACGGAGCUGGCCACACUUGAGAGCCUGGUAUUUUUGCUAUUGCUGUGCCUUUAGAUAUUAUGAAAGAGGUUAGUGUGCUCUCUGUAAUAAACUUGUCCCUGAG